rnacentral:sRNA from 1 species
GGUACUACUCCCACCUGAGCAUGCUUAACUGUGGAUGAUCCACAGUUAAGCAUGCUCAGGUGGGAGUAGUACCAGGAUGGGUGACCUCUUGGGAAGUCUCCACCAAGGCAACCA